rnacentral:rRNA from 1 species
UACGGAGGGUGCAAGCGUUAUCCGGAUUCACUGGGUUUAAAGGGUGCGUAGGCGGGCAGGUAAGUCCGUGGUGAAAUCUCUGAGCUUAACUCAGAAACUGCCAUGGAUACUAUUUGUCUUGAAUAUUGUGGAGGUAAGCGGAAUAUGUCAUGUAGCGGUGAAAUGCUUAGAUAUGACAUAGAACACCAAUUGCGAAGGCAGCUUACUACACAGUUGUUGACGCUGAGGCACGAAAGCGUGGGGAUCAAACAGG